UAGCUCAGUUGGUAGAACAUGAGACUCUUAAUCUCAGGGUUGUGGGUUCAUGCCCCAU
rnacentral:tRNA from 1 species